rnacentral:lncRNA from 1 species
AAAAAUAAAUAAAAAAAACCUAGAGGUUCUCUCAAAUUGGCAGAAAGCCGCAGCUGGUUUUAGCUGACCCCAACAAAAAGGCCCCCCCAAUAUGCAAAUGCUGCCCAUUAUGAAUUUCCAAAUUUACCCUUCUCCCUUUCCUUAUAUAUCCGAACCUUCCUCCCACUUUCUCCUCAAACCUCACACUCCGUUCUUCUUCUUCUUCUCUUCAAACCCUCUCUUUCCCUUCAAAAUUUUCCAUUUUUAACCUUACAAAAAUGGCCAAAGGAGGCAAACUCACGAAACUCAAAUCUGUGUUAAAGAAAAUGCAAUCCUUCAAACUCGGCCGCGUAAAUGGCAGCGCCGUCGUAGCCACACAUCAUUCUUCCUCCUCCGACAACGAUUCCUUUUCCGAUGAUAAUCACUGCUCUAACAAAAAUGUGUAUCCUGUCUAUGUCGGAAAAUCGCGCCGCCGGUACCUUCUAAACUCCGACGUCGUUGACCACCCGCUUUUCCGUGAACUCGUCGAAAAGUCCGGCGAUUCUGAAGAAUAUAUUACAGUUGGAUGUGAAGUUGUUCUCUUUGAACAUUUGCUUUGGAUGCUUGAAAAUGCUGAUCCUCAACCUGAGUCAUUGGAUGAGUUGGUUGAAUUUUACUCUUGCUGAUGUGGAAUAACUGUCAGUAACUGAAUGGAAAAAAAAAAUAACUGUGACGUGGACGUGGUAAUUGGAUAUGACCACCCACUAUCUCGUAUAUAGCUGUAAAUUUUUCUUUUUUGGUCAUAUGAUUUUGAUUAAUUAGCGGUAGAGAGAGGAAAAAAGAAAAGAAAAAAAAAACAUGAUAGAGAGGAUUAAUUAAUUAGUCCAUUUUUAUAAGGCAAAUUUCUUAUUUUAAGAGAGAAGCCUAAUGGGUGAUUAUUGUUAUUCAGUCAAUGCAUGUUUCAUUCUUUCUCUGUAAGUUUUUACCUUUAUCCAUUUUGUCCUUCAAUUUCUCUCUCUUUUCUUUUUCUUAUUUGAAACCAACUAACAUCGACAAUGCUGGCAUUUUGCUUUUUACUACGGUUAAAUAAAAAUAAAGGAAAAAUGACAUUAUAUAGUCACUCUUAAAAUAAUAGUCGAAAUAUAUAUAUAUACACACUAUAUGUUAUAUAUAAAAAUUAAACAAAUUUUGUAUACUUUUUCGGCUAUUAAAUAUAAAUAGUUUCUGACACGAGCUAAAAGUGAUUGUGCCCGAAAUAUAAAUUGAAGUGUACUAGUAAUUCUUAAUGGUCCUUCUUUCAUGGUAUUAUGUGUUUUCAAAAUUAAUUAAGUAGGAUGACUCCAAAGAAUUUACUUAGCAUAGAGUCAAUACGUUUAUCUCUAGGAUAUAUAAACACACCUUAAACUUAGUUAAUCUAAAUUUUGAAUUCAGCUUUAUAGAACUACUAAUUAUCGAUAUAUAGUAUAAAUUUAUCUGAAUUCAAGCCCAGGGGCAGAUUUAUAAGGUAGUUUAUGGGGCACGUGAAUAGAUGGUCGUUUUGCCAAACUAGGUAUUUUAGUUAAUAUUAUCUGUUGGCACCUAUGUUACACAAAGACUGAAUGGUCCCUUGGUUGAAUAUAUUUACCCAAAGGAAUAUAGAUCAAUUCUUAAUAUUUUUUUGUCUCCUAACCUUAAUGGUACACCCAUAUUUUAGAAGUCCUAGAUCUGCCUAUGGCGGGCCAGGGUUAAAAACAAUAAAAAUUGCUAUGCUAAUUAAGCGGAGUUGGAAUCAAGGUGACAUAUUAUGCUAAGGUUAUCUAAUGUUGAAAAAUAUCAUAAAUUGAUACUACUUGAUUUAAACGUACUACAGCUGUUGGUCUUUUUUUUCUCCCUUGUUACAGCUGUUGGUUGGGUCACCAGUUUUGAAUCCUUUUUUGGUGUUUGUCCUUCACAUUAACUAUAUUGUCCAAAUUAGGGCUUGAGCUCCUUAUACACGUACUCACUUUUCGUACGUAUAAAUGGAAAUUGAUCCGUCAAUCUUUUUCCAUUAAUUCCACAACCCAUUACCACUAUGUUGUUUGAGUUCUGGAGAAGCUAUAUAGAUUUAAACGUGAUGAAGGAGUUAAAGUACAAGCUGUAAGAUAAUGAUGGGGAUAAUUAAAUGUCCACCUUAAUUACUUAGCUUGAUUGCUUAGUUAACCAUUAAAGUUUAUGGUAGAUUAGUAAUUAUUUCUCCAUUUUUAGUCAGAAAUCUCGAGUUCCAGCUUUGGAAUGGAUUCGUCUUCGGAGGGGGCCGCAUUAUCAUUUUUCCGAUGCGAAUCCGAAUUAGUCGGGCCUAAGGCUAGUGCAGAACAAAAAAAAAGGUAGAAUAGCCCGAUACACAAAGUAUCAUGCAUUCACGUAGGGUCCGAUAAAGGAUCACAUCCCAAGAGGUGUGAAGUAGAUAGUCUAUCCUAAUUACUAACGUGGAAACAACUUUAUCGUUGCUCCAAGGUUCCCUUCAGAUAAGAAAAAGAUAGGUUAACUAGUUAGCAUGCAUGUAAGUUGUAACUGAUGUAUGAUUUUGUCUAAUAGUAUAAACUUCGUCUUUAUGAUUUGCAGAUUUUCAACUCUACUACGUACGCUUGAAUUAGUGAAAAUAAAUACAUCGGUCCUACUAAUGACUACGUAUUACAUAAUAAAAGUAAUUUAAAAAGGAGAUUUGCAGCAACCAGCUGGUUGAGGUGUGUAAAGGUACGACAUGAUAAGAAUUUAAUGCUUCUUCCUAAUGAAGCUGAGUCUUUAGUGGAACUGCUAGUUGUCUUGAUAAUAUGUUAGCUCUUAAGCAGAGAAAAAAAAUUAAAAUUUUGCAAUUUUUUUAAUUAUAAAACCCAUAGCAGAAGGAAAAGAAAAGGGUAGUUUACAUAGUUUAUGAUACUAAUGAUUGGGUAGUUGAAGAUGCUUUUGGUUUUCCAAGAAACAUCUCUAUUGUUUUUGUUAAUAUGGUGAUAGGUAUAAUGUAUACAUAAUAAAAAAUUAUGUACCCAACACACGCUCUUUGUUUGUAGUUUUGUUUGUUGGUAGAAAGAUAUUCUUAUUGCCCUUUUGAAAGAAUGUAUAAAAAAAUUAAGUAUGGAUUAAGGGAGGAUUUUUGUAUAUUAAUUUAUUAAUGCUAAGUGAGAAGACACGAAAUUAAAAGAUAUCGUUCCUAACACAAAGUGAGUACCUUAUUAUCUGUAACGACGCGUUUCUAUUAAUCUUUAAACUUGUUAUAAUAUCCUCUUAUUAUACUUCAUCUGCCACCAGUACAACAAAUCUAUGCAUUGUGCAAAUUAAAAAUUGGUUUACCACUCGGCAAUGUAAGGAAAAUUCGAAUUCUGAAGUAUGUUCUUAGAGGUUUUAACUGAACUUAGGGGUGCAUUGAUUCUGUAUAAGGUUGGGUUAAAACUCUUAUUACUCUAUAACUUGUCCAGUGUUUUAGUUGCGAAAUGGUGAUUGCAUAUUAAACUCCACGUAGCUAAUUAAUCCUUAUUUCUAGCAAAAUAAAAAAUCACAUUAAACCUAUUAGGCGUUUGGGCACAAAAAUUGUAAUUUUUGAGAAAAAAAAAAGUAGUAUUUGGAGUUAAGUUCAAAAAUGGUAUUUAGAAUUUGAAAUUAUGUUGGGACAUGCACUUGAAAAAAUAUUGCAGUUUUGUGAAUAGGAAACAAAAUAUUUUGAAAAUUUAUUUUCAAACAUUGUCAAAAAUUUGAUGGACAAACACAAAAAAAUCAUUUUUUUUAUUUUUUUUAUGGACAAACUGGUCCUUAGUACACUAGCCAAACGAGUUGUUGACCUUGUGGUACAAUUUAUUCCUGAUCGAAUAACUUUUUGAUACUUUUUGUUUCCCGAGAUUAUCUAAGCACAAUACUGAAAUAAUUUUACAAACAUUUAUAUUUGUUUUUACCACUUUGAUAUGAAGAAAAUUACAAUUUAUAUUAUUUUUUUGUGCGUUUUGAAUAUUUAAAUUUUAAUUUAAAUAAGAUUAAACUAAUGGUAGUAUCUGAUUAGUUGAUCGAAUUAACUCUCAAUAAGCCAAUAUUACUGUCGAACAAAAUUGAGCUAACUCAUUUUUGAAAGAGUUCAACUUUAAUCGUAUAAACCUAUUUUUUACGCUAUCGGGUUUACCUAGCUAAAAGAGAACAACAAGUAACUGUUUAAAAUAAGUGAGAUUAGAAACCUAAAAAACUAUGUUCCUAACAGAUUACUACUUGUUACAACUUCUUGAAUUAAUAGAUUAAUCGUAUAAAAAUUCUUUUACAUUCCAUCAGUAUAUAUUAAGUUAAAUAUCUUUUUUGUAAUACUACUCAGUGUCACUGUUUAUAUAUAUAUAGUCAAAGCAUAACUUAGCAUUCAAACAUCAAAUUCGUUUAGCAUUAUAUAUAUAUAUAUAUUUCCCCACAAGGGAAAAGUAAAAGCAAAGUGAGGAGUAUAAUUUGAUUUGAGAGUUGAUAAAGUUGAUGAACUUUAGAGAAAAGAGAGGUUUAGGAAAUAUUAUACCGCCGGACCUAUCUAUGACAUCUCUACGUAAUAGCCGUUCAUUAUAAAAAUUAAGUUAUUUUUAGAACAAACAAGACUAUUAUAUAGUGGUUUGACUAUAUUGACAAAGCAAAGGAGAGAGUACAGAGGGAGCAUAUAUAUCGGUUAGAAUAGAUGCUGAAAUGACUAAACAAAAUGCAGCAACCAAAGAGAAGCUGACAGCCGAUGUUCUCGGCUUUUUUUAUGAGAAGACAUUCAGUCAUGCCUGCUUAUGCCCAAUGUACUGCCCAUGGCUAGAGUAUAUCAUGCUCUUUCUUUGUCUCCCCCCGGGGUGUGUUGCUAGCUUCUUGUUUAUCCUUUUCUUUUUUACGCAUUCGGUACUACUAAUCUGGAUUUGCAUCGAAUAAGGCCGGACACUCAAAGGUAAAAUGCAUUUACCAAGAGGUUCUUCAUUUUCAAAACUUCAAUGGAAGACAUCUGGUUAAUUAAAGGUGGAGAGAUUUCAAACUAUCCACACCAUCUAAUCCACGUAUUGCUAUAGCAUUUUGGUUACGGAUUCAACUGAACACAUAACUUUCAAUACAAAGUAUGGAUUUUCUAUGCUGAAGGUAUUAGGUAUUUGAGACCUAUUAGCCCUACGUUUUUUAAAUUGCAAUGGAUAAGCCUAAAACGUUGUUUUUUUCAAGUUCUUUUUCAGAACUUGAAUGGAAGACAUAUGGUCAAAGAUGGAGAGAUCUUAAUUAACUAUGGAAUUUUUACCUCCUAUAGCAAAGGUUAACACCUUAUUUAUUUUAAAUAAAUAUCAUUUAAAAAAUUGUAUUCUAUAGAUACCUUUUAAGGUUUAUAGCAAAAUAUUUAAUUUUGGUUACUUUCUAGCCCUAAGCCACUAAAUACGCUAUUCAGUUACACUAUUUUCUUUCUCUUUCUACUUUGAUACAUCUCAUUCUCUUCCCCCAUCCCAUUAAAAUUUCCGCUCUUCUUCUCCUUUCACCGAAUUUGUGCAAAGCCCACUUCAGAGCAGGUUCACUCUCCUUCAAGUCUUUCCCGACGGCGACAUAUAUCAUAUCGUCGGCCACUCUCGCCGCGGGCAUUAAUUCACAUGUCCAGGAAGAAAGGGGGUUGAGUGCAACAGAAUCUAAUUGAAGGUUGGAAUCUUUUUUAUCGAUUCUUGAAUUUUACUAUAAGUUUUCAUGUUGGUCUUUUAUUCUUUCUUUUUUGAAUUCUUAUGUUUAAUAGUUUUACAGGAUGUGUGGGAACAGUGAGAUUCAGGAUUUUGCUCGACGGCGGAUUCGCCAGAAAUUAGUGUUUGUUCUUGAACAAAGAUGACGAAUUUUGGGGCUGAGCAACUUGAUUUUCUGUUAAUAUAUUUUAAUGUAUUUUCAACGUAUCACGCUGUAUUUUCAUGUAUUUCAUUGUAUUCAUUAUGUUUUUUUUCCAUUGUAAUUCAAUGUAUCUCGUUGUAUUCCAUGUAUUUCAUUGUAUUCACUGUCUUUUUUUCUCAUUGUAUUUCAAUGUAUCCCGUUGUAUUCUAUGUAUUUCAUUGUAUUCACUAUCUCGCUAUAUGCCAAGAAUGUAUUCAUAUGUUUUUUAAAUUAAUUUAAUUUAUGUAUUCAGAUGUAUUAUAUAGUUUCUCUGAAAAUUGCUAUGUUUUUGGGGUAUUUUUCGGUUGAGAAUCUUUUUUAUAUUGAAAAUACAAAAUUUGUGUGUUAUAAUUGGGUUUGUUGAGUUAUAUUANNNNNNNNNNNNNNNNNNNNNNCGCUUUAAAAACAAUGUAAUCCCUUAUUUCACGUCGUGAAUACAGUCGAAUACAAUAAUCUGUCCAGCUGUGAUCUCAUGUUUCACUCCAUAAAUACAGUCGAAUACACUCGAAUACAACAACUAAUUAGCUGGACUUCCCUGAUUCACGCCUAUUUUUGCCACUGUAUUCAUGAAUGCAAUAGCUUAAAUACAUCAAAUACAUCUUAUAACCACAGAAAAAUAUCUAUAAUCCGUAAUAUAUCAAAUGAUAUCUAUAGAUCACUAAUUACUACUAAAAGAUAGUGUUUAUGAAAAUUUCUCAUUAACUAUCCACAGCAGCCCUUCGAGAAUAAGUCACCAAACAUGUUGGCAUCACAUUUUCAGAACAUACUCAGUAAACAUUUAUUUUAUUUUACUUAAUUCUUCUUAAGUAAGAACUUAACUUAAGAUAUAAGAAAGGCCAACCAUUAAUCCUAACAGUAUUUUAUGCAACAUUGAAUAGUUAUAAGAAUUAAAUGAGCGAAAAGUUUUGUUUAUCUCGAAAAUACAAGUAACAAUUAAAUUUGAUUAGUGGUUUUAAAGAUAUGUGAUUUAGUUCAAUACUAAUUAAUAAUUAAGAGAUAUAAGGUAGAAAUGAAAUGUUAUUCAGCACUAGUGACCUCGAGAUGGGUCUAGAACAAUAAGAACAAUUAGGCAAGAAAAGUAAAGUAAGAGCAGUAGAGCUAAGGACAAUUCUGACAAACAGUAGGCGAAAAAGCAAAGAGUAUAUUUUUUGCUCAAUGAUUAGAUGAUGUUACAAAUGAUUGGGGUCCCCUUUAUAUAAUAGGGGAACCCUAAAUAAGGUAUAUUUCUAUUUACAGUGAGGAAUAUUCUUGAUACAGCUGUCUAACCGCCUAAUGCGGAAUCGUACAAUUCUAUUCUGGGAUUUGCGCCACGAUCUUGGGGACGUGGCAGGAAUCUAACUCAUUCUGUACAGAUCCACAACAGUACUAUUUCGGGGUCCAGCAUACUCGGUUUCGAUAUUCCUCGUACUCAUAUCUCCGAGCAUUGCAUUCUGUCUCCGAGCUUGAGUCCGGUCCAUCAGGCUCGACCUCGACCUCGAGCCUAUAAAUCGAGUAGCCCUGAUUUCUACCGUAUACAAGUUUGAGAGACCAACCCACGUGUGAGUGCGACGAGAAAUCUCAUUUUAGCCGUACAACGACCCCCCUAAUAUUUAGCCCACAAAUCCUCCAUCAUUUUAAGACAAUCUUAUGCCUGAUGCCUCGUGUGGUUUGUCCACCAAGUUUAUGUUUUUUUUUUUCAAAUAAUCCUCCAAAUUUACGGAUUUUCUUUUAAAAGUUUUUCUAUCCUAGAGUUUUUAUAUUUUGAAGCUAACAAAUUUUUUAACUUCGGUCGGUGAAUUUAUAUCAAAAUUGUUCGUUUCUUCAAGUCAACGGAACCUUGACUGUAAAUAUGAGACAGAAAAACAACAAAAUAUUAAAGCUUGGACAUCUCAAGACACAUCCAAGUAGCCAACAGAUCACAAAUUCACUAACAUACGAUUAAUAACAUAUUUUCUUUUUGGUACGUUUCAAAAAGAAUUAAUGGUCCCUUUAUAAAUUUGAAAAUAAUUUAAUUUAAACUUUCAAUUCUACCCUUAAUGAGAAGCUUUUUUAAUCACACAAAUACUUUGAACCCCUUUCUGACUUGUUUAGGACCACAAAUUCCAAAAGCUUUUAUUUUUUCUUAAACUCGGUGUCUAGUUAAACAAAUUCACGUAAAUUAGAACUUAGGGAAUUAUUCUUUUAAAAAAAAUACUUAGAGCCCGUUUGAACAUAAGAAUUUUUUCACUUUUUCUUUCGAAAAAUUUCCACUUUUUUUCGAAAUCAGUGUUUGGCUUAAAAUUUCCAAUUUUCACUUGAAGAUGAAUUUUGAAAUUUUUCAAAAAUUCAAAAAACUCCAAAAAACUAUUUUUCAAAAUUUCACUCAGAUCACCCACAAAAUUCAAAAACAACCCAAAAUUAUAUUCGUGUCCAAACACAACUCUAAAUUUUAAAUAUCAUUUUCAUUUGAAAAAAAAAAUUAAUUUUACAAUUCUUGUGUCCAUACGCCCACUUAAAAUGUUGAAAAGUUAAAAGCUACAAUAAUCACAACAGCAACAAUAAAUCCAGUUUGAUUCUAUAAAUGGGGUUUAGGGAUGGUAGUAUGUAUGCAGAUCAUACCCCUAUCUCAUAGAGAUAGAGAGGCUAUUUCUGAUAGAACCUAGGCUUAAGAAACAGUGAAAAUAAAGCAGCCAAGUAGCAAGAAAAGUUAAAAGCUAAAGAAACAUUAUCUAACACCUAUAUAAUACUGUCAUUUAUUUUUAAGAAAAAAAAAAGAAUAAAAGAAAACACGCCAUUAUCGAAGAUUAUAAUAGGAUGGAUAUGAUACCUGCAUCAUUAAUCAGAUGUCUCGAUUCGAGCCCUUUUAUGAAUAGUAAAAGAAUCUAGUAGGAAUUGAUUCAUUGAUUCCUCCUUUAGUAAGUUCGAAUACGAAUUAAUCAGAGCUCCAAUACGAAUAUCGCGGAUGAAAUGUGCUUCGGAAGCGCAAGGGGCAAGGGCCAAAAUUGUCUAUUCGCCACUGUACAACAAGUAGUACUGAAAAGAGACGUAAAAGAGCUCGUAAUAAAAUGGGGCCCAAAGCGUUAUUAGAAGAAAACAGAGGGAGAAUAAGCAGAUUCGGCCCACAGCAUAUUUUUCUAAACUUGGUGGGCCUAAAGCUGUCAUUAGCCUUUCCCCAAAUUGUUUUCCUCUUUUUAUUUUGUCUUUUUUCCUCCCAUUCUACUCUAUUUCACUUAUUAAUUCAAUAAAUAGUUUAGAUUCUGAUGGUAUAAAAAAUCAUGCAAAUUAUAUUACUUAAAAGAUAAUUUUAGGUAAGUCAAUUUUCUAAUCAUUGAUUUACAACUUAAAAGAAAUGAUAAGUAACAUGUAAUAACAAGUUAAAUAUCUAAUUUUGAAGAAAAAAAAUUAUGUUAUCAAUUUCUAUAAUUAACUUAAAACUUUUUAGGUGGCUGAAUGAGUGACUAAUUGAGUUGAUCUCUAAAAUCUAUCGACUUUUUAAGGGAUUACUAUAACAUCCCAUUAGAGGUGGAUCUAGAAUUUAAACUUUAUAGGUUCAACCUUUAAAAUUAUUAGCAUUUAAUCUACUACAUUUUUAAAGCUAUAAAUUUAUAUAUAUAUUUUUAUUAUAAUUUUAGUAAAUUUUACACAUAAAUUUAUAUUUGGCCUAAAAAAUUAUAGGUUCCACUCAAGCCGUGAAUUUAAUGUUACAUUGGCCCCAGCAUCCAACAAGAAGAAGCACCAAGGAACAACAUGCCAAAAGUCCAAAUUUAUUGUUUUAUAGUGUGACUGAGCCAUCAUUCUUUCAUUCAAUCCAUCACCUCUUGCUCUUGGGAGUCCAACAAAUAUUUUUGACAUUUUCACAUGCGUGAACACUACUUACAAGACUUUAAAUCUAUCCAUCUCCACAUGUAUUCCAUAUCUACUGUCUCGGAGUCAGGUUUUAAAUUUUAUAUAUGAGGUCUGUAUAUUUGGACGAUAAUCGCAUAGUUUUUGUUAAAGCUAUAUGAUGGAUUCUACAAUAACAUAACAUAUUCAGUGUAGUCAUACAAGUAAAAUU